rnacentral:rRNA from 1 species
UAAAGCGUGCGCAGGCGGUUUUGUAAGUCUGUCGUGAAAUCCCCGGGCUCAACCUGGGAAUGGCGAUGGAGACUGCAAGGCUAGAGUUUGGCAGAGGGGGGUAGAAUUCCACGUGUAGCAGUGAAAUGCGUAGAGAUGUGGAGGAACACCGAUGGCGAAGGCAGCCCCCUGGGUCAAAACUGACGCUCAUGCACGAAAGCGUGGGGAGCAAACAGGAUUAGAUACCCUGU